rnacentral:rRNA from 1 species
AUUGAACGCUGGCGGCAGGCCUAACACAUGCAAGUCGAACGAGUGGCGGACGGGUGAGUCAUGUCUGGGAAACUGCCUGAUGGAGGGGGAUAACUACUGGAAACGGUAGCUAAUACCGCAUACCAUCGGAUGUGCCCAGAUGGGAGUAGCUUGUUGGUGGGGUAACGGCUCACCAAGGCGACGAACCCUAGCUGGGCUGAGAGGAGGCCCAGCCACACGGGAACUGAGCCACGGUCCAGACUCCUACGGGAGUAAGCAGUGGGGAAUAUUGCACAAGGGGCGCAAGCCUGAUGCAGCCAUGCCGCGUGUAUGAAGAAGGCCUUCGGGUUGUAAAGUACUUUCAGCGGGGAGGCGUUACCCGCAGAAGAAGCACCGGCUAACUCCGUGCCAGCAGCCGCGGUAAUUC